rnacentral:rRNA from 1 species
UACGCAGGGGGCUAGCGUUGCUCGGAAUUACUGGGCGUAAAGCGCACGUAGGCGGUCUUUUAAGUCGGGGGUGAAAUCCUGGAGCUCAACUCCAGAACUGCCUUCGAUACUGGAAGACUUGAGUCCGGGAGAGGUGAGUGGAACUGCGAGUGUAGAGGUGAAAUUCGUAGAUAUUCGGAAGAACACCAGUGGCGAAGGCGGCUCACUGGACUGGUAUUGACGCUGAGGUGCGAAAGCGUGGGGAGCAAACAGG